AUGCAGGAGAAAGCCAUUUUGGAGACAAGGCCGGUGCUUCGCAAGGCCAUAGAAGAGGUGUACAAGUCGCUCUCCGACCGACGGAGCACGAUGGUUAUCGCCGACCUUGGCUCCUCAUCGGGCCCGAACACCCUACGCGUCGUCUCCGAGGUGAUCGGCGCGGUCCAGUUCAACACUCAGAAGUCGGAAGAAGAACGGCGCGCCGUGGAGGUGCAGUUCUUCCUGAAUGACCUGCCAGGGAACGAUUUCAACCUUGUCUUCCGGUCACUGGAGCAACUUGAGGAUCUCGGAGGCAAAGAGACGCAGCCCUACUAUGUGGCGGGCCUGCCGGGAUCCUACUGCAGUGUUAAGUGUUAG
rnacentral:rRNA from 1 species